AUUGCCCUAGUAACGGCGAGUGAAGCGGCAACAGCUCAAAUUUGAAAUCUGGCUUCGGCCCGAGUUGUAAUUUGUAGAGGAAACUUUUGGAGAGGCACCUUCUGAGUCCCUUGGAACAGGGCGCCAUAGAGGGUGAGAGCCCCGUAUAGUCGGAUGCCGAUCCAGUGUAAAGUUCCUUCGACGAGUCGAGUAGUUUGGGAAUGCUGCUCAAAAUGGGAGGUAAAUUUCUUCUAAAGCUAAAUAUAGGCCAGAGACCGAUAGCGCACAAGUAGAGUGAUCGAAAGAUGAAAAGCACUUUGAAAAGAGGGUUAAAUAGCACGUGAAAUUGUUGAAAGGGAAGCGUUUGUGACCAGACUUGCGCCGUUCCGAUCAUCCGGUGUUCUCACCGGUGCACUCGGGGCGGCUCAGGCCAGCAUCGGUUCUGGCGGGGGGAUAAAGGUUCAGGGAACGUGGCUCCUCCGGGAGUGUUAUAGCCCUGGGCGUAAUGCCCUCGCCGGGACCGAGGUUCGCGCAUCUGCAAGGAUGCUGGCGUAAUGGUCAUCAACGACCCGUCUUGAAACACGGACCAAGGAGUCAAGGUUUUGCGCGAGUGUUUGGGUGUAAAACCCGCACGCGUAAUGAAAGUGAACGUAGGUGAGAGCUUCGGCGCAUCAUCGACCGAUCCUGAUGUAUUCGGAUGGAUUUGAGUAAGAGCGUUAAGCCUUGGACCCGAAAGAUGGUGAACUAUGCUUGGAUAGGGUGAAGCCAGAGGAAACUCUGGUGGAGGCUCGCAGCGGUUCUGACGUGCAAAUCGAUCGUCAAAUCUGAGCAUGGGGGCGAAAGACUA
rnacentral:rRNA from 1 species